rnacentral:lncRNA from 1 species
UUUAGCAUGAGAUCUACCCUCUUAAUAAAAAAACAGUGCUAGUUCAAUUUAUACAAUACCGUAUUGUUAACUAUAGGCACUAUGUGAUACAGUAGAUCUCUGGCAUUUUCUCUUGUGUAGUGUGUCAUUACAUCAAUUGAACAACUCCCCAUAUUUUCACCUAACUUCAUCUCCUAGUGUCCACCAUUCUGUUGUCUAACUUCUGUAUAUUUGGCUAGAUGCCUCAUGUAAGAGCAGCCAUGAAAUAUGUCUUUCUUUGACUGACUGACUUUUAGCAUAACUUCUUUCAGGUUUAUCCAUGUUCUUACAAAUGAUCACCUUAAAUUAAAAAAAAAAAUUGCUAAAACAACAAUCACAGAAAAAGAAAGUUAAUACAUCAAAUUACUGCCAAAAUUAUUUUAACAUCACCCUUUCCAGAGGCAAAGCUUGUUCAGAAUCAUCCAGUGGGGAAUAUUUUCCCACAAAAUUUAACUUGGAAAGAUCCAGCCUAAAAUAACUCUAUUUUAAACGUUAUUUCAACAUAUUUUAACGAAGCCCUAUGAAUUAUGAAAAUAGCCUUCUGAUAAUACUAAUAAUAUGCCUGAAUAAGACCUUGUAACUUGUUGCUUGCUAAACAACUUCUUUUCAGAUGCUUCACAAUUGAUAUUUGAUAUAGGUGAAGCAGAAAUCAUCUCGAGGAAAUAGCACUGAACAGUAAUGCCCUGAAACACAGCAUUUGUUGUCUCCAAGCCACUGUUAAGCUAAGCUUUCUGGCCCCCAGAUCUGCACCUGACCUUUACCACCUCCUCAUCAUCCACUCUGGUCUGCAUCCUCUUGACCGCGUCUGAGUCUCCUUUGGGGCUGGAUGUCUGCUUCAGCAUUAGGAAAUGGACACAUCUAUAGAAUCUCUCAUGGCAACACACCAAGUAUUGUAAACUUCGUCCUUUCAACAAGUUAUAUUACUAAAAAUCGACAAACUGAACUCACAUGAAUGUGUACUUACAGAGUUGUGGCUCCUGAUUCUAUUUAAGGAUCUUAACUUCACUCUCACAGAUGGACCCACCUGUGGCUACGUUUACACACUAUGAUCCUAGCUAUUUUUCCUAGUGUUGGAAUGUUGGUCUGAGAUAUGGAAAUGGUGAGUAGCAUUAGAAGGUUAGCCUUAGAAAUAGUUCAGCUUUUAAGGUGGGGUAGUUAAACCCUGUCAUUGAGACUAAGAGCUUUUCUUUGUAGAAAACUUGCAAGGAAAUUUUCUCUUGGAUUGGAUUCUGUGAGACAAGAUGGCCCAAUGUUUCAUAUGAAAUAGUUUUUAUUUGUUGUUUACUUGUUUUGCUUAAGUCAAUCUACGUUAGUGUCUAUUCUCUCAAAAAUUCUAAUACCCAAGUAAUACCAAAGCGUUGGCAUUGGCAAUCCAGCAUAAAUAUCACCAGUGUUGACACUGCCUGUCAUCACUUCAAAACAUAGUUUACUGUUAAACAUGAGACACAAUGUCUUAUCUGAGGAAGAAAUACAUAUUGCUUUUGAUGGCUUUGUCUGAACAGAGCCUUCUUACCAAUGCCCCAAACUAUCAAGCUAUUUUAAGUAAUGCAGUCUUGAGUGAACAACACAUAUUUUAAUGAAAAUUUUACAAGUAACAUAUGUACAUUCUAGUAACAGUUAAUGACAUUCCUUGUUAUUGUGAUGACAUUGUUCUCUAUGUGACUGCAGGAAAUUGGCUAAAAUUGUGUGACAGCUGCUAGUGAACUCAUUCAGAC